rnacentral:lncRNA from 1 species
CCGCUUUAUUCCAUCCAGGGUUCUUGGGCUAGGGUUUUGGGGAGCUCCGCUAUGAUCUGCGGCACACCCUAGCAUCCGUGAAGACUAAACCAGGUUUGCACAGGAAUCCUCUCUCCGGCGCGCAAUGUCUGUCCUCCUUGCACAGGCACAGGCCCUCGAGCGCGCAGUAGUCGCGGUAGACCGAGGCGUUUUGCUUGAUCCCGAGCACGGCGUCGGACCACUCGCUGGAGAAGUAUCCGUCGGGAUCGUAACGCUGGCGGACCUCGAGGAAUUUGGCCAGGUUUGUGACUCGAGAGCCCAUGUCCUCGAACAUCGCGUUUUUGUUCUUCCCCCAGUGUGGCCUGCCUUUGUAUUUCUUGAGCAGCAUUUGCUCGAUCUCAUCCGUCGCGUCCUGGUCCAGCCGGGGCGUGUUUUGCCGGCGGUCUCUGAAGUAGAGCAGCUCGAAUGCAACUGAGUCCUCGGGCUCGGCGAGGUAGGCCGUGGAUCCUUUGAUGAAUCUGAGCUGUGCUCCGCCAUAGAUAUUUGCACCGCAGAGCUUGGUUGGGUCCAUUCCAUCGCGGAUCUUCUUUAUGUCUUGGAUGGCUUCGUUGAUCCUGGAGAGUGGGAUUGCUAGGGAUGUCUGGAAGUAGAAUUGUCCAGGAACGUCGGGGUCCCAGUAGCAUGUUAGCCUCUCCCCGGAUGCUGAUCGUGUGUUGUUUAGUGCAGUGUUUUGGCAGCCUCCAGCGGUUUGGAGCUGGUGAUUAAAUCCCACGACUGGAUAUCCGCGAAAGGUAUUGCUCCUGUCAUUCACCAGGCCAUCUCCGCUCGAGACUCGGUUCUCAACUCCGUUUAGUGAUUGUUGGCAGACGAGGGAAGCGUUCAUCUGGGACAUGAAGUUCUCCUCUACGUAAAAGAAUCACGAUUUCAGCGUAAGGUGAGAACUCUGAUUUUUAUGAGAUGUUGGAGCUUACCUCGGACUCUAGACUGUCUUACGUUUGUCUCUGGAGCAGGAUCAUUGCCAGCGUUCCUUCCCUCGCCAGGGGUACUUGCCGAGACCUUGUUGUCUACCCUCAGCAGGAUCUUCUUCUGAGAGAUGUACCAGUUGAUAUCCCCAAACGCAUACCUGCUUGCGAAUCCAGCAACGUCAUUCUCGAGGGUGCUGUCGUCGCGGGCCUGCUUGGUGAUGGAGCGCUUGAACAUCGGCUCCACGUCGAGCGUGACCGUGGAUAUGGCUCCAAGGACGCCAAUAGACAGCUUGGCUGCAUUCAGGUCCGGGCUUGAUUUCCCAAGUUUGAUGACUUUGGCAUAACCUUGCUCCCUUGAUGCAGGAACGACGAUAGUGAUUCCGGAGACAUAGUCAUGCACUGCUCCACCUUUCCCAAGCAGACUGCUGCCGUGCGAGCCCGUGCUUAUUACUCCGGCGAUUGAUAGACCGUUGAAGUAAGGCGUACA